AGUUAUUCCGCCCCCGGCUCCGCACCCGCGUCUCGGACGUUCCCGCAGCCAACGUUUAGGGCACCAGGCGCUGUGCUAGGCGCCGCGGUUAUAAAGAUAAUCGGUUUUGUUGAGCCCAGGAAUGUUCGGGUUAAUCUGUUUUCUCUAAUCAAACACUUAAUCAUCCAGUCUCCUCUCUGCGUUAUGGAUUCAUGAAUGUGAAGUGAGGAGAGUUGCUCAGUCAAGGUUUUUCACGUACUGCACAUCCAAGCUAGGUAAUGUCUCUGCAACUGCUGCUUCCUGAUGAUUAUAUUCAUCUGAAAUGACUAAGCUUGGUAAAUUAGGCUAAGUCAAGUCUGUGGAGCAGUCAAGGGACGAAUGAAGAAAAGAAUAAUGUAAUGGAGGCUACACCAGAGACAUGGGAAUCUAUCAGCAUGUGGCAAGGAAGGAAGAACAUAGCUAUGUCUUCUAUAUAAAGAGUUGCCUGCAUUCUUCUCAGAAAAAAAAAGACAAUGGAAAGGCAAUGAGUCAUGAGUCUUGGGUUCUAAGCCUGGUUCUACCAUUUGCUAGCUGUAUGAUAAGAAGCAUGUUUGUUAAACCUCUGAGCCUCAGCUUAUAUAUAUACGAAACAGGAAAAAUAGUAACAUAGCCUGCCAUCUUCACAGAUUUGUGAAAAGGUCUUUUAAAUAUCCAAAAAGCUUAGUAUGUAUAAGAAAGAUUAAAUUGGCUGGGCGCGGUGGCUCACGCCUGUAAUCCCAGCACUUUGGGAGGCCGAGGCGGGCGGAUCACAAGGUCAGGAGAUCGAGACCAUCUUGGCUAACACGGUGAAACCCCGUCUCUACUAAAAAUACAAAAAAUUAGCCGGGCGCGGUGGCGGGCGCCUGUAGUCCCAGCUACUCGGGAGGCUGAGGCAGGAGAAUGGCGUGAACCUGGGAGGCGGAGCUUGCAGUGAGCCGAGAUUGCGCCACUGCAAUCCGGCCUGGGCUAAACAGCGGGACUCCGUCUCAAAAAAAAAAAAAAAAAAAAAAAAAAGAAAGAUUAAAUUUAAGCUAUGGGUAUGACACAAAAAUAUACUUGAAAAUUAUUCUUAAAUUUCACCAUAUUUAGGAAGUGGCUAAAUAUCAACAUAAUAUUCCUACUUCUGCAUUUCCUAUUUCUCUCUUUGCAUUUUAAAUUCAGAGGAAGUUAUCUCAUUUAUUAAUUGUAACAUUUAAAUAGUAUACAUUUCUGUCAUUUAAAAGUGGUACUGACAAUGUAGUUAAACCUUUAUUAUCUUUUAUUGGUUUAAUAAAUAAAAGUGCAUGACUAAAAACAGGCCACAAAUAUCAAUGAUUUUGGGGAUUUCGCCCUACAGGAAAAUCAUACAAUGCAUUUGGAAAAAGGUAAUUCUGACUUGUCCUCUACGAAAUGCUAAAUUUCUGCACAAAAGCUUAAAGCACAAGUGUUUACAGGAUUCUUGGUGACAAGAAAAGUGAUAGUAAAUGUGCUUUAGCACUAAAAUUCAUGUAUCCAUGGAAACCUGUGAAGUUCUGUAAGCACACACACACGGCCUGCGGUAUUUAUUGAAGAGCUAAGACAGCGAUCAGUGGGUUACUAUGCUGUGAAAAGCCGACAGAUUGCUGGGAGCUGCUAUGCACAGGCAUGGAUGAGGUUGUUUUUCCCCUGCUAAAUGUAAUUACAGAGGAAUUCAGAAGUCUCAGAUAUUACUGAGAAAAAAAAAACAUGUUUAUUUAUUUAUAUGUACUUGUACCUUUCAGAAUACAGUGUCCUUUUUUUACAGUGUCAGAUUUUUUAGUCAGGAAAGCCUUGAAAAGUCAUCAGCAUUUCCCUUUCCCACACAUUUGUAGCCAUAGUCAAAAACUCUCUAGUAGAUUUUCCAUGUGUGCAAAGAAAGAUAUUUCUUGGAUGUUAGGAGAGAAUGCCCCCAGUUUUUUCCAAACUGAUUAUUCCUGGGUAUUUAAAUAUGUUUCUUAUCAGUGUUUCGUAACGUAUAAUGAUUGUGAAAGCAAAGAGCAUGAUGAUAUUUGGGGGAAAGAAUCGCCUACAAAUAUCUGAAGUGUUUAUUUAACCACAGACUGAUACUCUAAUAAAAUAAAGAAGUAAUGCUAUUUCA